rnacentral:tRNA from 1 species
GACUCGGUGGCGCAACGUUAGCGUGUCUGACUCCAGAUCAGAAGGUUGCGUGUUCGAAUCACGUUCGGGUCA